GAGCCUAAGGAGAGGGAGGAGCUCGUGGGAUGACAGGAGGAAAGGGAUGCUAGCUUGCCCUGUUCAGUGGAAAGGAGAGAGAUACUGUACAUCCUAAGGAAGGUGGUCGUUGUGGCUCUUUAAAAUCGGAGGCUACCCUGUUGAAAACGAGCGAGCAUUCUGAAAAUCCCGAGGAAGAAGGUCGUCACGGCCCUUUCGUCUGAUUGGAAACUACCUGAGGGUUUCAUCCAUGAUGACCACAGAUUCCAGUGCACGAGCUGUAGUGAACACACUCAAACCAUACCCAUAUCAUAGGAGGGUUGCUCUUUGACAUGGAUAACAACAGCUUACGACAGAACUGGAGACGAGUGACCAGGCAGAGAAGUGGCUAAGAAGUUCAGAUGACGAAGGACUUGAGUAUAAUAACCAUAUUCCAGGAGCCUUCCUGGAUGUCUCUGAAAUGAGAAGGAAGGAAAUACAUAAAGGACUUGUUUCAAAGAAUGGCUGCAAAAACCUUCAAAGGCUCACAGCAAGUUGGGCAGGAACUGACCUCAUGAAGCCAGAAAGGCCCAAACAUGCCUGCUCCAGUUUAGACCUGAAGAAGCAGCAGCCCUUGGAGGAACUGAAUCCUCAAGGGCCGUCUUCUGACACAGCAUUCAGGAGCCAGCCAGAGAGAUGCCAUGUUGGGCUGCCUGGGCAUUGACAGCACACUCGUGGUUACUUUUCACCCCAUGCUUUUGACUGAAGACACGUAGAUGCCCUCUCACAUUGGACUUGUGACGGCUUUACAACCCUCUCUCCUUUCCUUUUUUUGUUUUGGUUUUGAAACUGGAUCUCACACUGUAGCCUUGGCCUGCCUGGGACUCACUGUCUAACUCAGGCUGGACUCAAACUUGCCACAGUGCUCCUGCCUCAGCCACCCAGGUGCUGGCGUUAUAGGUCUGAGCCAUCCCUCCUGGCUUUUGUUGAACCACUCUCGCUUUGCGCUUUAUGAGUCAAGCUUACUAAUCUUUUUGUCUUAGUUUGUGUCUGCCCAGGACAUUACUGUCCCUAAAAAACCUCCUUGUGUUUGCUGUUGGCGUCAUGAAUUACUACUCAGAAUAUCAGACGGGCUUUGCACGCGCUGGCCUCAGAUGUGUCCGGCACACUCUCAUAAACAUGGCGUAACGACUGUGCCCCUGUCAUCUUAGUGACUCGAUUCAGCAUCUGCUGGGCAGUUGGAAUAAAGAUGUCAGUCUCCUUUAUGUGUUGUCCAAACCUAUGUCAAACUGGAAUUCACAACUCAUUUCCCCAAACUUUUCCCUAAGUUUCUCCAUAGUGGAGAAUACUGAAUAAUGAUUGGGUUUGAAAUCUGGGGUCCCUCCUCCCCUCCCCCAGUUAAUGUACCAAAGUCCUAUGACUACAAUACGUGCAAAAACUGAGCUAAACUAUAAACCUGACUUUUUCCCUCUGACCACCUGAGUUUGGUCCCUCAAGGUUCACUGUGGAAAGAGUAGACCCAAUCCUAAAAGUUGUCUGCUGGCAUCCACACACACAAUAAUAAACAUAAAAUAAAAUUUAAACAAAGAUCUGGCUAGUUGUGUUUCAGACCUAUGAUGCUAGCUAGCACUCAGAAAACUGAGGCAGGAGGAUUGUUGUGAGUUCAAGGCCAGCCCAGGAUAUAUGGUGAGUUACAGGCUGAUGUGAUGUUAUGGGCUACAAUAUGAGACUCUUGUUUCAAAAA